GAUGAACGCUGGCGGCGUGCCUAAUACAUGCAAGUCGAGCGAACAGACGAGGAGCUUGCUCCUCUGACGUUAGCGGCGGACGGGUGAGUAACACGUGGAUAACCUACCUAUAAGACUGGGAUAACUUCGGGAAACCGGAGCUAAUACCGGAUAAUAUAUUGAACCGCAUGGUUCAAUAGUGAAAGACGGUUUUGCUGUCACUUAUAGAUGGAUCCGCGCCGCAUUAGCUAGUUGGUAAGGUAACGGCUUACCAAGACGACGAUGCGUAGCCGACCUGAGAGGGUGAACGGCCACACUGGAACUGAGACACGGUCCAGAAUCCUACGGGAGGCAGCAGUAGGGAAUCUUCCGCAAUGGGCGAAAGCCUAACGGAGAAACGCCGCGUGAGUGAUGAAGGUCUUCGGAUCGUAAAACUCUGUUAUUAGGGAAGAACGAAUGUGUAAGUAACUAUGCACGUCUUGACGGUACCUAAGCAGAAAGCCACGGCUAACUACGUG
rnacentral:rRNA from 1 species